rnacentral:tRNA from 1 species
GGGGUUGUGGCUCAGUGGUACAGCACUUGCCUAGCUCGUGCAAGACCCUGGGUUCGAUCCCCAGUACCACA